UUUUCUAAAUUGUUAUUCCUUACACGUCUAUUUGGUAAAAUAAAGUACAAAUCACUAGUUUCUUGUUUCUCUCAAUUGGCUUCUGCUAGUCUUGAACGAAUUGUGUCAGGAUUUGAUAUCUUGCUAACAAGUAAGAGAAGAGUUCCAUUAGAUGCUGGUUUCUCAUAAAUCCAUUCAGGAGCCAAUUCUUGCAGUAAUAGG
rnacentral:misc_RNA from 1 species